rnacentral:rRNA from 1 species
ACUCCUACGGGAGGCAGCAGUGGGGAAUAUUGGACAAUGGGGGAAACCCUGACGCAGCAACGCCGCGUGAAUGAAGAAGGCCUUAGGGUUGUAAAGUUCUGUUUUCUGGGACGAUAAUGACGGUACCAGAGGAGGAAGCCACGGCUAACUACGUGCCAGCAGCCGCGGUAAUACGUAGGUGGCAAGCGUUGUCCGGAUUUACUGGGCGUAAAGGAUGCGUAGGCGGAUGUUUAAGUGAGAUGUGAAAUACCCGAGCUCAACUUGGGUGCUGCAUUUCAAACUGGAUAUCUAGAGUGCAGGAGAGGAAAGCGGAAUUCCUAGUGUAGCGGUGAAAUGCGUAGAGAUUAGGAAGAACACCAGUGGCGAAGGCGGCUUUCUGGACUGUAACUGACGCUGAGGCAUGAAAGCGUGGGGAGCAAACAGGAUUAGAUACCCUGGUAGGUC